rnacentral:lncRNA from 1 species
UAUUCCUUCCUACUGUGCAGCUUUUUAAGUUCAACUACUUUAUUUUACAGAUGAGGGAGACCAAAGCCCAGAGAAAUGAAGAUGUCAGGGACAAUCUGCUGGGUCUAUGACUCUCAGUCUGUGCCUUCUCUGAGACUGCAGAGGGUAGGUACACAGUGAGAAGUGGGUGAAAGAGCCCUGGCUUUCAAGUCAUAUUUGGCCAGGUUUGAAGUCUGACCUUGUCCUGUACCAGCUGUGUGACCUCGGGUGAGCUGUUGAGCCUCUCUGAGCUGCAAAAGAAAACCACAUGGCUCUCCUCCAAGAUUGUUGUGAAGACUGAUGUCUAAAAAAUGCCAGCUACAAAAAGGGAUCCACCAGACGCUGCUCCCCGCUGCUGACCUGGCCCAGAGACACUUGUGGCAUGAGAAAGACAGAGAUGUUGGAGUAACAGAAGUCGCAGAUCCUCCGCGCUCCUUCAGUUCUGGAAUCAGCUUCCGUGUGAAUUGGUCUUCAAGGGCACCACAGCAUGAUUCUCCGAACACACUCCUGUUUUAAGAUUCAAAGAGAUGUCAACCUGAGGCCCUCCAUCAUGCAUUCUUUCUGCUAAUCCCCACAGGAUAGUAAGUGUCUGAAAGAUCAGGCAAAGGUGGGCAGCGACCAAAGGAGGCAGAUCUAAAAAGGCCGCCAAAGGAGGCUUUAUUGAGACUCACUCCCAAGCAGAACUCAGACCAACAGAGUGGACAGGAGAAACUGCGUGGAAGUUUGACC